CCAUGUUAUCUACAUGAUUAAAUGUCCAUGUGGGCUGUGUUAUGUAGGUAAACACCACCCAUGUUAUCUACAUGAUUAAAUGUCCAUGUGGGCUGUGUUAUGUAGGUAAACACCACCCAUGUUAUCAACAUGAUUAAAUGUCCAUGUGGGCUGUGUUAUGUAGGUAAACACCACCCAUGUUAUCUACAUGAUUAAAUGUCCAUGUGGGCUGUGUUAUGUAGGUAAACACCACCCAUGUUAUCUACAUGAUUAAAUGUCCAUGUGGGCUGUGUUAUGUAGGUAAACACCACCCAUGUUAUCUACAUGAUUAAAUGUCCAUGUGGGCUGUGUUAUGUAGGUAAACACCACCCAUGUUAUCAACAUGAUUAAAUGUCCAUGUGGGCUGUGUUAUGUAGGUAAACACCACCCAUGUUAUCUCCAUGAUUAAAUGUCCAUGUGGGCUGUGUUAUGUAGGUAAACACCACCCAUGUUAUCUACAUGAUUAAAUGUCCAUGUGGGCUGUGUUAUGUAGGUAAACACCACCCAUGUUAUCAACAUGAUUAAAUGUCCAUGUGGGCUGUGUUAUGUAGGUAAACACCACCCAUGUUAUCUACAUGAUUAAAUGUCCAUGUGGGCUGUGUUAUGUAGGUAAACACCACCCAUGUUAUCAACAUGAUUAAAUGUCCAUGUGGGCUGUGUUAUGUAGGUAAACACCACCCAUGUUAUCUACAUGAUUAAAUGUCCAUGUGGGCUGUGUUAUGUAGGUAAACACCACCCAUGUUAUCUACAUGAUUAAAUGUCCAUGUGGGCUGUGUUAUGUAGGUAAACACCACCCAUGUUAUCUCCAUGAUUAAAUGUCCAUGUGGGCUGUGUUAUGUAGGUAAACACCACCCAUGUUAUCUACAUGAUUAAAUGUCCAUGUGGGCUGUGUUAUGUAGGUAAACACCACCCAUGUUAUCUACAUGAUUAAAUGUCCAUGUGGGCUGUGUUAUGUAGGUAAACACCACCCAUGUUAUCUACAUGAUUAAAUGUCCAUGUGGGCUGUGUUAUGUAGGUAAACACCACCCAUGUUAUCUACAUGAUUAAAUGUCCAUGUGGGCUGUGUUAUGUAGGUAAACACCACCCAUGUUAUCAACAUGAUUAAAUGUCCAUGUGGGCUGUGUUAUGUAGGUAAACACCACCCAUGUUAUCUACAUGAUUAAAUGUCCAUGUGGGCUGUGUUAUGUAGGUAAACACCACCCAUGUUAUCUCCAUGAUUAAAUGUCCAUGUGGGCUGUGUUAUGUAGGUAAACACCACCCAUGUUAUCUCCAUGAUUAAAUGUCCAUGUGGGCUGUGUUAUGUAGGUAAAACCUCUUGUUAUCUCGGAGAAUUAUAAAAAUUACAUCGGGAGUAAAGACCGGGAUUAUCCAGUCGCAGUACAUUGUAAAGACCUAAAACAUGACAUUUCUACCUUUAGGUUGUGUGACAGAGAGAAAGUCAAGAUAUCAGACAGGGGAGGUGAUAUAACACGGAUCUAAUGAGAAUGUUUUGGGAUUUUCACCCUCCAGACAUUAUUCCCUAAAGGUCUUAAUGAUGAAAUGUCCAAGCAUGUUAUGUUGUAAACGUCAACAUGAAUUAAUGCCUCCACUUCAGACGACUCUGACGUUUCUUCUUGAACGGAACCCAAUGAUUUAUGAAAACUUACUUGAUGUCCUCAUUGUGGGUUUUACAGACGGGAUCAGGGCCAGCCCUCCCAUUAGACCGUCGCCUGUGGCAGCACUUGAA